AACAUAAAACAAGAAUACAAACUGCGGGCAGUUAAAAAAAAAUUGACGGUUUUUUUGUAACACAACACCACGACCUGCUGCAUUAGUUAAUACGGCCUGUUCAUAACUGUAGUUCCACUGUAUCCUCCGAUUUUAGUGAGGGCGCUAGCGGAUGGGCGCAUUUUAGGAAUUUUUAUUAUUUUAUGUUGGUUGGAUGGUACUCACUGUUUUUUGGUGUCAAAUCUGACAUUCAAAUUAAAAUUCUCUUGAGAAUCUUUAAGCGCGCUGAAAGUAGUUAUUUGUGAAGUCCAUUUGUUAUUGUUCGUUGUUUUUCUUUUUGAUUUGCAGUUUUCGUUCCUUUUUUAUUUGUUUUGUGGUGUUUCGUUCCCAUUUUGUCGUUUCAACUCGUUUAGUGUUUCGUUAUUAUUUCAUAGUUUAAUUAGUGUUUGUUUUUUGUUGUUUUGUUCCUAUUUGGUCGUUUAACUUCAGUUAGUGGUUCGUUAUUAUUACAUAGUUUAAGUUGUUACGUUAAUUUUACUGGGACGAAAAUGCGGUUCCACAAAAAAUGCAUUGUGCCCCAGUGCCCUGCCAAGUACUCAAAGUCUUUCCAUCAGUUUCCCUCUGAGCCCCUCUUAAGAGAAAAAUGGCUACAUAAAGUAGAGAAGUUUUGUUCUCCAACGCAGCAGAUCGUCAGUCAGUACUCAACCAUUUGCAAUUUGCACUUUAAACCCACAGAUUUUAAGUUUGCAGCAAAUGGUAGUAAACGCUUGCAAAAAAAUGCAGUUCCAACAGUUUUUCAUGUAUAUUUAUUUACAUUUUAAACUUAACAGAAAUAAAAUUAUAGUUUUUAUAGGG